UCUUUUUUUACGUUCAAGUCAUAAAUCUGUAAAAUGACAAAAAUACACUGCUGUAAACACAUCUAAGGGACAUACAAACAACACAACAUUAGCCAGGUCUCAGUUGCUACA